rnacentral:rRNA from 1 species
AAAGGAAUUGACGGGGGCCCGCACAAGCGGUGGAGCAUGUGGUUUAAUUCGAUGCAACGCGAAGAACCUUACCUGGCCUUGACAUACAGAGAACUUUCCAGAGAUGGAUUGGUGCCUUCGGGAACUCUGAUACAGGUGCUGCAUGGCUGUCGUCAGCUCGUGUCGUGAGAUGUUGGGUUAAGUCCCGCAACGAGCGCAACCCUUUUCCUUAUUUGCCAGCACUUCGGGUGGGAACUUUAAGGAUACUGCCAGUGACAAACUGGAGGAAGGCGGGGACGACGUCAAGUCAUCAUGGCCCUUACGGCCAGGGCUACACACGUGCUACAAUGGUCGGUACAAAGGGUUGCUACUGCGCGAGCAGAUGCUAAUCUCAAAAAGCCGAUCGUAGUCCGGAUCGCAGUCUGCAACUCGACUGCGUGAAGUCGGAAUCGCUAGUAAUCGCGGAUCAGAAUGCCGCGGUGAAUACGUUCCCGGGCCUUGUACACACCGCCCGU